GAUCAAGUGUCAAAAGGGCAUUUGGUGGAUGCCUUGGCAUGCACAGGCGAUGAAGGACGUGAUACGCUGCGAUAAGCCGUGGGGAGCUGCGAAUAAGCUUUGAUCCAUGGAUCUCCGAAUGGGGGAACCCACCUUAAAUGCUUGGAAAAUUUAAGUCGUGCGUAAGUACGGCUUAGGUUUCCAAGCAUUGUUUAAAGGUAUCUUAUCCUGAAUACAUAGGGGUAAGAAGCGAACGCAGGGAACUGAAACAUCUAAGUACCUGCAGGAAAGGACAUCAACCGAGACUCCGCAAGUAGUGGCGAGCGAACGCGGACCAGGCCAGUGGCAAUGAGGA
rnacentral:rRNA from 1 species